AUGUCUGGGUGUGUGUCCGGGUGUGUGUCUCCAUGUCUGUGUGUGUGCAUACCUGCAGGCUGAGCCUGGGCCAGAGGGUCUCCGUGUACACUGAGGUCUCAGCUUAAAACCCUGAGGGGGGCUGGUGACAGGUCCUCUCCCCUCUUGGCAUAACUCUUUCCAAGGAAGAGGAGCCGUGCUGAGCUCCAGGGCACUCUCGUACCCAGGCAAGCCCCGUGUGUGCCCUGGUUAUGGACUUGGUCACGUGGGGAGGGCAGUGAAAGACUAAACCUUUCCUAAAUAAACAGGCUUGGGAGCGUGGCAGCCAGGACUUUGAAGAACCAAAAUGCCAGGACCUAAAAGCUAGACAGUAUUCUGGGGACACAGCUACCCUCGGGCCCGCGGGGAAAGUGGCAACAGGCAAUUCCUCCCUCCAGUGACCCUCCGUCCACAUCUGCUCAGGGCAGGUGGACCCCUUCUCCCUCCCCCACCCAAGGUUUCAGGAGGAGGAGGAGGGCUCCUGAGGCUGCUGGCAGCCUCACCACCAAACUGUUCUCAUCUCUUAUUGUUCCUGAGAUGGAACAUUUAAAUAAGAGAACUGAUGAUAAGUGGAAGCCAGCAGAAUCAUUCACUCCUGAGAAGGAAGACAAUUGCUUGAUUUAGACACCAAGUUCCUUGCCUGACUGUUCUCAGUACCAGUGGUCUAAAUUUGACCUUGGGAGAUGGAUUGAAAGAGCCGCCUUGUGUGGGAGAGGACAGCAGGCGCCAGGCCUCUGGGGCAACAUCUGUAGGCGGAGAACAAUGGCCUGCCUCGCCUCUGAGCCCUGCCCUGGGAGCAGCCGUGACAGACUCCCGCCCAAGGCUAGUUCCUGCACCUCGUAUUGGAAGCAGGUCUGCAGCGCAGGGCCUGGGAGCAGGCUGGCAUUGACGCGCCAGGUUAGGCAUUGUUUUGAUCUCAGCUUUCAGUGUUUUCGUCUCCUCCAACCGGUGGGAGGCAGCAGAGAGGAGCUGGUCUGCCGAGGCUUUUUCCAGAACCUUGGGGAAAGCAACCAAACUACAGGCUUACAGAAAGAACAAGAGAUUUGCUUUCUGGCAGUGGUGGCAAAGCCAGCAUGCUCGGUAGCACUAGAAAAUCAUGGACUGAUCCUGGGAUCCAGAGGCCCUAAAUUAGCCUCCUGAAGGGCUCCUGUUUGGGGCCCAGGCCUAUAAGAUGGGCUGUGGAGUGGGAGUGGGGGGAGGCAUUUCUUCCCUUCUCUUCUGGACGCAGGCAUAGCAGGUUCCAGGGACAGGAGGAAAGAGCAGCACUAAAGGCAGACCCUGUUCGCUUUCCAACCCAAGGAAGCUUUGGAAGAAGCAACCCUAGGAAGCUUUUUGAAAGAAGGCUGCGUCAAGCAUUUUGGAUAUUUCUCUGUAAGAUUUGAGUCCUUGUUGAGUGACUUCAGAUACAUCUGAGCCUCUGAAGGUUUCUGCAAUUCUAGGAUGGGAGGGAUAACCUUGCAAUUAUUACUUUUAAGCAGUCUCCAGCUCACCCUGCUGACCAGCCUCUUUUUGGAUGCAUCUGUGGGCAGUGAGGAAAUGAUGAGUUCAGGAUUAUUGGAAGGACUGACUACGAUUGCUCACGUGAAGUUUGCCACUUAGCGUCUGGUACACAGUAGGUAUUCAGCAUAAUAAUAAUACUAAUAACGAUAUAUCAUCAACUUAAUUAUUCAUAUUAAGAAAUACGAUUAUGUACAUAAAGCCUCCUGCUCCGUGCUGGGCACAUGGCAGAUGUUCAAUAAAUAAAGGUCCCUGCCUUCUCUCCUUCCUAAAUGAUGAACCAGUCUAUGCCCUGAAAACCUGACCCAACUGGAUUUCUUUCUUUCUUUUUUGUCUUUUAGGGCCUCACCCGCGGCAU